rnacentral:rRNA from 1 species
AGUAAGAGAAAAAUGUUUAUAACGGAUCUCUAUGCAAAUAAGAAAAAGGACGUACGAAUGAACGAAAGGUUAUAGGGAAAAUAUAAAAAAGAGUUAGCAAUAGCAAUUGAAGAUCUAUAAAUAUCCGAAGGGAGACCAAGAAAAAGAAGAAACGCAGUGAAGUGAAACAUCUUAGUAACUGUAGGAAAAAAAAUCAAAAGAGAUGCGGUAAGUAGUGGUGAGCGAAAGCCGAGGAGAGUAAAAGUAGACCAUUAGAAGAAAACUGAAGAAACUAGGUGGAAAUCCAAGGCAGAAUAAGGUGAAAGUCCAGUAAGGUAAGGGACUAAUGGUAAAGAAGUAAAACGAAGAAAGGAGGAAUUUGUUUGAAAAAUGGGGGCCCACCCCCAAACUCAAUAUAUGCUUAUUUGACUGAUAGUGAACAAGUACUGUGAAGGAAAGAUGAAAAGGAAUAUAGAAGUUAUCUAUUCAGUGAAAAGACCGUGAAAUUGUAAACAUGAUGAGCAGUUGGAGUUAAGUGACAACGUACCUUUUGUAUAAUGGGUCAGCGAGUUAAUAAAUCGUAGCAAGCUUAAGGUAGUAACUAUAGGCGCAGCGAAAGCGUAUCUUAAUAGGGUGUUUCAAGAGUUACAUUUAUUAGACCCGAAACCAAGCGAUCUAAUUAUGAACACGCAUUUUAUUAUUUUUAUUUUAAUUUGGCGGAACCCGUAACUGUUGCAAAAGUUUGGGAUGAUUUGUGAUUAGGGGUGAAAGGCUAAUCAAGCUUGGUGAUAGCUGUUUUUUACGAAAUCUAUCUAGGUAGAACGGUGGUAUAUUGUUUAUUAUUAUUUGAAAAAGUCUUAAUAAACAUUAUUAAAGCAAUUUAAUAAAAGAAAAUUUAUAGAGGUAGAGCACUGAAUGGUUCAACCUAAGGUUAUUAUUUAAACUUCGAAUACUAUAAAUAAAUUGACCACUAGGCAGACUAUGAGCGCUAAGGUCCAUAGGUCUAAAGGGAAACAGCCCAGAUUGUAAGUUAAUGUUCUUAAAUAAUAGUGUAGUGUCAAAGGCAUGGAGAAAGUGAUGUUAAUUGGAAAGUAGGAUUGGAAGCGACCAUCUUUUAAAGAAAGCGUAAAAGCUCACCAAUUUAAGGCGUUCUCUAGCCAACAAUGUACAGGAACUCAACAUUAUACAGAAACUACAAAAUUAUAACAUUGGUAGUAAAAUGUUCCGUAUAAUUGUGAAGUUAACUCAAGAAGAGAUAAUGGAGUUAUCGGAAUUAAGAAUGCUGAUAUGAGUAAUGUUAAUAAGGUUAAGACCUUAUCACUGAAAAUUAGAAGUUUCCUAAUAAAAAGGUAAGCUGAUUAGGGUUACGCGAUCGCUAAGAUUAAUAUGACAAUAAACUAUCGAUGCGCAUAUAGAUUAAUAAUUCUAACGUUUUUAUUGUAGUUUUAAUUGACAUGUGUAUUUUAAAUAAUUAUAUUAUACUUACAUUAUAGAUUAUUUGAAAUAUAAGUUUUAAAAAUAGAUUAAAACAAAAUAUCUGUAAAAAGAUAUUUUAAAUAAAAAAUCGUACUUAAACCGACACUGGUUAAUUGAUAGAAUAUAUUAAAGUGUAGAAUGAAUGAUUCUGAAGGAACUCGGCAAAAUAACUCCGUAACUGCGGGAGAAGGAGAGCCUUUGUUGUAAAAAAUGAAGGUCACAGUAAAGAAGGGGUGGCGACUGUUUAAUAAAAACACAGGAUUCUGCAAAAUGGCAACAUGAUGUAUAGGGUCUGCGACCUGCCCGGUGCUCCAAGAGGAAGAGGAGAACUGCAAGGUUUGAAUUGAAGUCUGAGUAAACGGCGGCUGUAACUAUGACGGUCCUAAGGUAGCGAAAUUCCUUGUCGAGUAAUUUUCGACGCGCAUGAAUGGUGUAACGACCUCCCCACUGUCUCCAGAAUCACUUCGAUGAAAUUGAACUUUCCGUGAAGAUGCGGAAUAUUAGCAGCUAGACGGAAAGACCCUAUGCACCUUAACUUCACGCAUAUAUUGUGCAACAUUUUUAAUUACGUAGGAUACUUAUGAUGCUUAUGAUCUUUUGGUUUUGGCCAAUUUAAAGGAGGCGCUGGUGAAAUAGUAAGUAUAUUAGAAAAAUAGUACUCAAACAUGAUAAUGUAUGCCGGGUAGUUUGACUGGGGCGGUAACCUUCUAAAGAGUAACGAAGGUGUAUAAAGGUAAACUCAAAAUAAACUGGUUAGUUAUUUGGUGAGUGUAAUGGCAUAAGUUUGCUUGACUGAAAGACCUACAAGUCGAUCAGAGACGCAAGUCGAUCAUAGUGAUCCAAUAGUUCUGUGUGGAAAGGCUAUUGCUAACGGAUAAAAGGUACGCUAGGGAUAACAGGCUAGUCACAUAUUAGAGUUCAUAUCUGUUAUGUGGUUCGGCACCUCGAUGUCGGCUUAACACAUCCCGGAGUUGAAAAAGUUUCCAAGGGUUGGGGUGUUCACCCAUUAAAGUGUUACAUGAGCUGGGUUUAAAACGUCGUGAGACAGUUUGGUCCCUAUCUACUGUUAAAAACGAAAAAAUUAAAAUCCUUCCUUUAGUACGAGAGGACUGAGGUGGGUCGAUCACUGGUGUAUUAAUUAUUAUAACAAUAGUACCGUUAAGUAGCUACAUCGAAAUAUUAAUAAUAUAUAGUAUUAUUAAGAGAGAACUGCUGAAAAAAUAUUAAGUAGGAAACUUAUUUUAGAUUUUUUUAUAGUCAGGUAAAAGAUUAUUACUUUGAUAGGCUACAUAUAGAAAUGAAUAGUAAUAUAAUAUAAAAAUUUGAAAAAAUUUUUCCAUUAAUUCUAUAAUUAAUGUGAUCUUAUUUAUUAAGAUUAGUAAAGUAGUACUAAAUAUGGAUGACGUAUUUUAUUACU